GGACGAACGCUGGCGGCAUGCUUAACACAUGCAAGUCGAACGAGAAGUCUAGGUGACGGAGAUUUCGGUCAACUGAUCUAGAGGACAGUGGCGGACGGGUGAGUAACGCGUGAGCAACCUGCCCUUCGGAGGGGACAACAGUUGGAAACGACUGCUAAUACCGCAUAACAUAUACUUAAGGCAUCUUAGGUAUAUCAAAGAUUUAUCGCCGAAGGAUGGGCUCGCGUCUGAUUAGCAGUUGGUGNGGUAACGGCUCACCAAGGCGACGAUCAGUAGCCGGACUGAGAGGUUGAACGGCCACAUUGGGACUGAGAUACGGCCCAGACUCCUACGGGAGGCAGCAGUGGGGAAUAUUGGGCAAUGGGGGCAACCCUGACCCAGCAACGCCGCGUGAAGGAAGAAGGCUUUCGGGUUGUAAACUUCUUUGACGAGGGACGAAUAAUGACGGUACCUCGAAAACAAGCCACGGCUAACUACGUG
rnacentral:rRNA from 1 species